rnacentral:lncRNA from 10 species
UGUAUCUUCACUCCUGACUGAUUGAUCAGGGAUCCACUGGAAUUGCUCAUUACCCUGGUCUGCCUUCAGCAAGAAUCCUAUUAGCAGAGAACAAAAUACAUCCCAUGGAUCGCAUACUGGCAAUUGGAUGCUGUAGCCCAGGAGUGACACACAUCAUUUCCUCUUCCAACUCACUGGCCAGAACUAGUCACACAACCCUGCCCAACCACAGGACAGCAAGGAAAUGCAAUGGGAUCAUGUGCCUGGAAUGAGAGAAGUGGAACGGCACUAAGGACUACCAAAGUUUAUUAAGUAUUGAAGCUGCUAAAUAAGGCUAUUCAACAGGGGAGGGGAAAUGAGGGGUGGCAAGUAAACAGGUGAAAGAGUUUUGUUGUUGUUGUUAGCAUUUGGAUUUUCUUAAACUUUGAAAGAUUGAAGUAUGACCAUAGAGAUAAGUGUGCAAAUCAUAAAUGUACAGCUCAAUGAAUUAUCAGAAAGUGAACUCAUUUGUAAAAUUACCACCUAGAUCAAGAAAUAAAAUAUUACCAGUUCCCUAGAAACCCACGUUGUGACCCCUCCAAUUUCUACUUCUGUUCUUCCUCCCAAAGUUAUCCUAUAGACUGAAAAUUUAAAAGAAAUACACAUUUUCACACUCAUCAUGAAGGAAGUAGAAAGUAUCAUUCCUUUGGGGUUUCUCUAAACCUUGGGGAGAAUGA